rnacentral:lncRNA from 1 species
UUAAGUAUUUUAGGAGGCAAUUGAUUUCAGAAUUUCAUAGUCUAGAUGGAGAAUUUAACAAUUCUUUUGGUGUUUUUGCUGUGUUGUUUACUCGUUGAUACUUGAUAUGAUCUUAAUAGGAGCUGGAGAGUUUCUCUGUAACUUGGAAAUUGGAUCUAGCUUCUUCUGAUUUCACAUGAGUUGAUAAGCUCUAAGAAUUUAGGAGGCAUUUGAUUGCAAGAGUAUAUAGUCUAAAUGAGGAAUUUAACAAGUUUUUGAUCUUUUUGUUGUCUAAUUGAGUUGUUUAGUAGUUGAUAUGGGAGCUCGAGAGUCUCUCUGUAUCUUGGAAUUGGUUCUACCUCUUCUGAUUUCGCAUGAGUUGGUGGUAUCUGUUGCUACUGCGUUAGCUCGAAUGUUUAGAAUGCGAUCGAUUGCGGGUUUUUUAGUCUAGAUGGGGAAUUUAUUGGUUUAUAUUGUCAUGUAUUGGUUCUUGUUCUUCUGAGCAUGCAUGAGUCAUGUCUAGUAGCAUUUAGGAGGCAAUCGAUUGCAGAAGUUCAUAGUCUAGUGUUUAUAGCUUGGUAUGAUCAUGUAUUGGGAUGUGUAGCUACUGUGUAAGCUUUAAGCAUUUAGGAGGAAAUCUGUUUCAGAACUUCAUACUCUUGAUGGGGGA